CCCUUUUUAUUUCCCUUUGCGCUUUCUCCUCCUUUCACUCCUUUCUCUCUCUCUCUCCCCCCCCCCCCCACCCCCUUCCCUCCCUCUCAGAUUCGCCUCCCUCCCUCUGCUUUUGUUAUCCCUCCCCUCGCUUCCUCCCCUCCCUCCCCGCUCCCUCCCCUCCCCGCUCCCCGCCCCCGCCGGCACUGCGGAGCCGGAGACGUGACCCGAGCGGACCCAGCCGCGGCCUUUUCCCCGCUGCUCCAGCCUCUCGCCGCAGAGUCGCAUGUCAUCUAUCCAGAACCUCCAGUCCUUCGACCCCUUUGCUGAUGCAACAAAGGGUGACGACUUACUCCCGGCGGGGACUGAGGAUUACAUUCAUAUAAGGAUCCAGCAACGAAACGGAAGAAAGACACUAACAACUGUUCAGGGAAUUGCAGAUGAUUAUGACAAGAAGAAACUUGUGAAAGCUUUCAAAAAGAAAUUUGCUUGUAAUGGUACUGUGAUUGAACAUCCUGAAUACGGUGAAGUUAUCCAGCUUCAAGGUGACCAGAGGAAGAACAUUUGCCAAUUUCUCUUGGAGAUUGGCAUUGUCAAGGAAGAACAACUGAAAGUUCAUGGCUUCUAAAAUACCUGUACUCUCAUGAAGAACCCUGCAGUGUUUGGUCUUACCUAGCCUGGCUCUUCUGUGAAAAAUGAAUCUUUGCAGUGAAUGGACUUCCCUGUUACCUGAACAUUUAAAAUUUGAUUCAGAUUUGCAUGACUGCACGAAACAUGUGACAAUUCCACCUGUAAGAAUCCAGUAUCCAGUCUCUCAAGCUCCACAAAUUCUGCCUGGUGUUACAGAUCUUAACUGUUCCAGAGAAAGGAUGUUCCAGAAGAUUGUAUACUGUUAAGGUAUAAUAUUUUCAAGAGGAGGAGGAGGGAGUGCCUGCUGCAAAACAUGAAAUACCAGCACACAGAACGAAAAUCCAAAGAAUAAGUCUUAUGCAAGUCUUACACAUUAGCAGAAUAAAAUCAUUGUACUGCAAGUUUACCUAGUCCUGAUUCAUAGAUGCUAAAGUAAUUAAUCCUUUGGGGGUACACAGCACUUGGUGAUUUUCAUUUUAUCAAAUGCCAGAAAAACUGACAUUCUCAUUUAAAGCUUGUUCUCCUGUCCAAGAGGAAAAACAAGCAGUAUCUUCUCCUAUUUCACUGGUGCUACAUGAGUACUUCUAGUGGGUUUUGAAUUGGAGAUUAACAAAUGAUUAGCAAGUCUCAUGUGUUACUGAGUCAGUCUUCAUUUCAGAUGGCAUUCCAUUAACUUUUACUACCUAAGCUUGAGUCAUUUCUCCAUAGUCAUUCUGCUUGGAAUAAAUAAGAAAAACCUUUGUUUUCUCCUCCUUGUUUAAAAGUCCUUUCUGAUGGGAGGACCCCUGCAGUUGAUAGGUGGCUUGGUUUUUAUGCUCUAGCGGAGCUGCUUGUGUUUUGACCUUUGAAGGGCAAAAUUAAAAGGAGAGGGAAUAAGAAGUAACACAUUUGAAGUUUAAAUAGAUGAGAUUUGUUGUGGGAACAAACAAUCUUUCUAGAAGAAAAGCAGAAAUUUUUGUCCUUGAAGUGUUUUAAACUAGAACAGUGUCUCUGAGCUUGUCACUAGCCUUGUUACAAGCCCAAGCCUCUUUGCAUGUUCUAGAGGAAAGGCUUCAACAAUCUCAUUUUUUAUCAUCUUACACUGAAACUUCUUUGUCAAAGCUCAGCCUAUUUGGAAUAUCUGUCUGUCUUUCAAGAAUGCUGAAAAACAUGGAAGACUUUGGGAAAGAACUGUUUAAAUUUCUGCCAUGAAAACCUGUUUUCACAGUGAAGGCAGGUUUCAGUCUUUCCAUCUAUACUGAAAUAGGUUAAAAAAUGGUAAAGGAUGUGGCCCAUAAUUGUUGAGGCAGUAAAAGGGAGCUAAUAAUAGAAAACACUUUUAAAACCCACUAGUAGGUGGGUUGAGACUGGACAAGCUCAGACUGCAAAGAGUCAUGGCUUCUUUUUGUUGUAAUGUUGUGAAGUCUGUGUCCUUCAGAUCUCCAAAUCAAGAUUGCCGCCUUAGUGAUACCUAGGCUUAACCACAAGCUGCAAUUGGAUGUAGGGACUGCUGUUGGAAUUUCACAGCCUUGCUGUGCAUAGUUAUAUUGGGCUGUUGUGGCUGACUUUUAGCUGAUAACUGGAGUAAGGUGUUGCAUAAAUAAAUUCAUUGAAUUGUCUGUUCAGAGCCUACAUCUACUUAAUGCAGCUAUGAACAAUGAAACUAUUGCUUCCCAAAUGGUGGUAGCAAUCCUUGUUUGUACAAGAUGAGAUUUAGUAAUUUAAGUCUGUAAGCUGCCUACUUCUUGUUGUGUGAAUUGUCAGGCCCUUGAUCUUCACCUGUGGUCUGCUAAAUCUGACCGUGUGUUUCAGAGAUGAGUGUGAAGAGCACAACUAUGGGCAGAUGAGCAAUAAUUUUCUCAAGUGAAAGAACCUUUGAAAAGAAUAGUGCCUAGGUUGUGUGUGCAUACUAUUCAUUGGUUCAAUGGCUUUGCUUAAACCUUCCUUCCUGCACUACAUUCUUGCACAGCCUAAAUGAAAAGCAUUUUGUUCUGGAGAAGUUUUUUGUGGAGGGAGGAGGGAUCCCCACAAAAAAAAAACCUUAGGAAAUAAGUUUAUAUCUUAAGUCUGUUUUCAUUAACUUAGAUUCUCCUGGACUGCCAGAGCUCUAUAACAUUGUUAUUUCUGUUUCUGUAUCUGUAAAAAUCCUAACUAAACUUCCUUGAGAGUUUGGCAUUUAAGGUUCUAAAUAUGUCUAAAGCUGUUAUAAAACUUAAAAUUGUGAAGAGUUGUUGAAGCAUUUUUAUUUGAAAAAAUAAUAAUUAAGCAGAGCUCUGCAUUUUGUUCUACACUGCCAUUCUGCUUAUAAUCAGUAUGUAGUUACCCUGAAGAUGCAUACGUAUUUACAGACUUCCCAGUAAGCAGAUAUCCCUGCUGUAGUGUAAUAUCCUGUUUGUAGUUUUUCUAAGAUCUUAUACAAGAUUGGUAUUUAGCCAGUUAAAGAAUGGGGAGGUUUACUGUCACUUUUGGUGUGUUCAGUGUUUAUUAGUGUCACUGAGUGUUCCUCUAAUUAGUGUGCUGCUGCCACUAGGGAAAUGGAAGUGGUCUUAGAGGGUCAUGUGUAUUUAAGUACAAAGAAUCUGCCUUUCUCCUAAGACUCUCCAUGCAUCCGUUUAUUUAGGAACAUGUCCCCCAUGCACAGCAACAUGAGGGUUAUUUUCCAGCUGCCAGAUCAAAAGCUAUUGAGAUGAAUAAGGGAAAAAUGACAUAGUUGUUUUGUUUGCUGUACAGUUGCUUCAUGCCUACUGUUUCUAGUUUACAUUAAAAAAAAUAAAAGAGGAUUUGUACUUGG